CCUACGGGGGGCAGCAGUGGGGAAUAUUGCGCAAUGGGCGAAAGCCUGACGCAGCGACGCCGCGUGAGGGAUGAAGGUCUUCGGAGCGGAAACCUCUGUCAGCAGGGAAGAACGGUCACUGUGCUAAUCAGCAGUGAAUUGACGGUACCUGCAAAGGAAGCACCGGCUAACUCCGUGCCAGCAGCCGCGGUAAUACGGAGGGUGCGAGCGUUAAUCGGAAUUACUGGGCGUAAGGCGAGCGUAGGCGGUAUGUCAAGUCAAGGGUGAAAUCCCCGCGCUCAACGUGGGAACUGCAUUUGAAACUGGCAAACUGGAGUGUGUGAGAGGAUAGUGGAAUUCCAGGUGUAGGAGUGAAAUCCGUAGAUAUCUGGAGGAACAUCAGUUGCGAAGGCGACUAUCUGGCACAUAACUGACGCUGAGGAGCGAAAGCGUGGGUAGCAAACAGGAUUAGAUACCCUGGUAGUC
rnacentral:rRNA from 1 species